rnacentral:rRNA from 1 species
AGAGUUUGAUCCUGGCUCAGGAUGAACGCUGGCGGCAUGCCUAAUACAUGCAAGUCGAACGAGGGUCCUUCGGGACCCGAGCGGCGAACGGGUGAGUAACACGUAGGGAACCUGCCCGUGCGACCGGGAGAACUUUCGGAAACGGAAGCUGAUACCGGAUAGGGACAGAGACGGCAUCGACUCUGUGUUAAAGGAGCUGAAAGGCUCCGCGCACGGAUGGACCUGCGGUGCAUUAGCUAGUUGGUGAGGUAACGGCCCACCAAGGCGACGAUGCAUAGCCGGCCUGAGAGGGCGGACGGCCACACUGGGACUGAGACACGGCCCAGACUCCUACGGGAGGCAGCAGUAGGGAAUUUUCGUCAAUGGGCGCAAGCCUGAACGAGCAAUGCCGCGUGAACGAGGAAGGUCUUCUGAUCGUAAAGUUCUGUUGAAGGGGAAAAAGAGCGGAGAGAGGAAAUGAACUCCGAUUGAUAUUACCCUUCGAGGAAGUCACGGCUAACUACGUGCCAGCAGCCGCGGUAAUACGUAGGUGGCGAGCGUUAUCCGGAAUGAUUGGGCGUAAAGGGUGCGUAGGCGGCCUGCUAAGUCUGGAGUGAAAGGUACCGGCUCAACCGGUACAGGCUCUGGAAACUGGCGGGCUAGAGAGCAGGAGAGGGCGGUGGAACUCCAUGUGUAGCGGUAAAAUGCGUAGAUAUAUGGAAGAACACCAGUGGCGAAGGCGGCCGCCUGGCCUGUUACUGACGCUGAGGCACGAAAGCGUGGGGAGCAAAUAGGAUUAGAUACCCUAGUAGUCCACGCCGUAAACGAUGAGGACCAAGUGUUGGGGAAGACCCAGUGCUGCAGUUAACGCAGUGAGUCCUCCGCCUGGGGAGUAUGCACGCAAGUGUGAAACUCAAAGGAAUUGACGGGGGCCCGCACAAGCGGUGGAGUAUGUGGUUUAAUUCGAAGCAACGCGAAGAACCUUACCAGGCCUUGACAUAGGGUGCGAAGCUAUGGAGACAUAGUGGAGGUAAACAUCCAUACAGGUGGUGCAUGGUUGUCGUCAGCUCGUGUCGUGAGAUGUUCAGUUAAGUCUGGCAACGAGCGCAACCCUCGUGAUGUGUUACCAAUAUCGAGUUAGGGACUCACAUCAGACUGCCGGUGAGAAACCGGAGGAAGGCGGGGAUGACGUCAAAUCAUCAUGCCCCUUAUGGCCUGGGCUACACACGUACUACAAUGGCGGCGACAGAGGGCAGCGAGCCUGCGAAGGCAAGCGAAUCCCCAAAAAGCCGUCCCAGUUCGGAUUGGAGUCUGCAACCCGACUCCAUGAAGUUGGAAUCGCUAGUAAUCGCGGAUCAGCAUGCCGCGGUGAAUACGUUCUCGGGCCUUGUACACACCGCCCGUCA